AGAUUGAACGCUGGCGGCAUGCCUAACUACAUGCAAGUCGAACGGGGUAGCAAUACCCAGUGGGCGGACGGGGUGAAGGAAUACUAUAGGAAUUUGCCUUUAGGUGGGGGGAUAGCCCGGGGAAACUCGGAGUAAUACCGCAUGGAUGUCGAAAGACCAAAAGUAGGGGAUCGCAAGACCUUGCGCCUUUAGAGAAGCCUAUAGUCUGGA
rnacentral:rRNA from 1 species